CAGUAGCCGCGGGAAUACAGAGGCCUCAAGCGUUGUUCGGAUUCAUUGGGCGUAAAGGGUGCGUAGGCGGUCGGGUAAGUCGGAUGUGAAAUCCUGGGGCUCAACCUCAGAACUGCAUUCGAUACUGCUUGGCUAGAGGACUGGAGAGGAGAUCGGAAUUCACGGUGUAGCAGUGAAAUGCGUAGAUAUCGUGAGGAAGACCAGUGGCGAAGGCGGAUCUCUGGACAGUUCCUGACGCUGAUGCACGAAGGCCAGGGGAGCAAACGGGAUUAGAUACCCCAGUAGUCCCUGUCUCUUAUAA
rnacentral:rRNA from 1 species